rnacentral:rRNA from 1 species
UACGGAGGGGGCUAGCGUUAUUCGGAAUUAUUGGGCGUAGAGGGCGCGUAGGCGGCCCGGUAAGUCAAAGGUGAAAUCCCUCGGCUCAACUGAGGAACUGCCUUUGAAACUGUCGGGCUUGAGGCCGGGAGGGGGUAGCGGAAUUCCCAGUGUAGCGGUGAAAUGCGUAGAUAUUGGGAGGAACACCGGUGGCGAAGGCGGCUACCUGGACCGGUUCUGACGCUGAUGCGCGAAAGCGUGGGUAGCAAACAGG